rnacentral:lncRNA from 1 species
AAACACCUUAAAGUCAUUUUAUUAAUAUUCUUUCAGACUAUUCAUUUCUGCUUUUUGUUUUUGAGAGUAUUUCCUUUCUUUUAUUUUUUUCUUUCUUUUCUUGAGAUGGAGUUUCAAAUAUACCAGAGUAGGCUGGAACUCACUGUCUAUCCUAGGAUCCCAUGCCUUUAACUCCUGAGUUCUGGGAUUCCAUUCCUGCUUUAUGCAGUGCUAGGGAAGGAACAUGGAGCCUCAUACACGUUGAGCAAGUGCUCUACCCACUGAGGUCUAGCCUAGGGGUAAGGUCUGGAGUGUCCUGGCUUGCUCAGGAAGGAAGGUGUUAUUUAGGGAAUCUCACAACUUCCAGCCCAGCGUGAAGGGAAGACAGGGCAGGAACUCAAGGCAGGAACCUGGAAGCAAGAAGGGACUGAAUCAGAGGCCAUAGAGGAGCUCUGCUUAGUGGCUUGCUCUGUCUGCUUCUAAUAAAACCUGUCCAGGGAUGGCACCACUGACAGUGGGCUGGCCUUUCCCACAUCCACUAUUAAUCAAGAAAGUACCCCAUAGGCUUGCCUGCCUACAAGCCAAUCUGAUAGAGGCAUUUUCUUAGUUGAGGAUCCCCUACUCCCAGGUGAUCCCAACUUAUGUCAGAUAACAGGGAAGAAGAAGGAGAAGGAAGAGGAAGAAGAGGAAAAAGAAGAGAAAGAAAGAGAAAGAAAAGAAAAGCAAAAGGAACAAAACAAAGAAAAUAACCACCUCAGGGAAUCCGUACUCUGCCUUUGACCCUCGGAUACUGAAGUUCUAGAAGUAACAGUGCUCACAGACCCUGAAGACCAAAUGCAUAGACACUCAGCCCUUGUCCUAGGACCAAUCAGGGAAGGAAAGGCUAUAGGUGUGUGACUGAAAUCAUGUGACAAGAUAAGAUCAAUUUCCAAAUCUGAUUUGUGAAGACCCUUUGAUCUGACUUAAAGGCAAUAUUUUUAAAGAUUUAUUUUCAUUACUUAUGUUACGUGUGAGACUGUAUGAAUGUGUAUGGACAAAUGAGCAUAGAUGCCCUUAGAGAUCAGAAGAGGGUGUCACAGCCCCGGGAGCUGGCAGUGGUGAGCCACCUGACAUGAGUUCUGGAAACUGAGGUCUUGCCCUCCCCCAAAGCAGUGGACACUCUUAACUGACUUAAUGUCAUCAUUAGAAGCUGUUUGUGUUCUUUAAGGAUAAACAACUUGCCUCAGAUUGGGCAUUAGUCUGUUAGGUACAGGAGUUCUUGCAAUGAGCAUUUUAAAAUUAAUGUAUUUGAUAAUCACAAUCAAGUUUAUUUGAGUUUAAAAAAAAAUAGUCAUGGCAUGCAAAUACUGCUGAGGAACAAAUUUAACAAGGCUCUUUUUUUUUUCUUCCAGUGUGGCCUCUAUGGUAAAAAAUAGUAAAAUGUGACCUUCUAGGUCUUAAAAUCCAUUAUUCUUUUGACCUUGAGGCUUUGAUGCAAAAAGCAAGAAUAACAAGAGGAGAAUCAGAAAAUGGCUUCCUGUCAGAAAAGCACACUCUCUGUUGUUUACACACGUCGGCUUUAUUGAGCUUAAUUCCAUCAAGCUAACAAAAUGGAGAAGCAAUAGUUACAGCAAACGAGGCUUCCAAGGCUUAAGCUCUUGCAGCAGGUCCCAGUGUGGACUGCACCACAGCCCACAGGAGCCUGGCCAAGUUCCUCCAGCCAUUGCUUCCUCCUGCUCUGUCCUUUCCAGUGGCAUGGCCAGGACCCAAGCCUGGAUUUGCACGUCCCCAGCAAUCAUUUCCCAACAUCUAAACACACCUCCCAUAGUAGCUUCCUCUGAAAGGGAGAAUGGAAGUCAAGUUUCACCCAAACUUCCUAUGGAACACAAAAGGCCAUAACAUCCAAAUCGCCCCUCUGAAGCACGGGGGCUACUGAGACAGCAGAAUUGCCGUUGGAAGCAAAAUGGGAUGUAGUGAUUGGUUGAAAAGAAAAAAAAAGUGAAUUUCUAGCUCUUUUCAGGCUCUUGCCAUGAGUAAAACUUGAAAAUGAAAUAUCAGAAAAUCCAAGAUGAGAUGGGCCUUAGAUCUUCCAUCCCCCUCCAAUCCCCCGCCUUUCAGAGAGGCCGUAUCUAAACCAUCCCAGAUGGCUGCUCUAUUUUUAAAGAACUCCAGAGAAGGAGUCUCUCCCACCUCCUCAGUCACCCAUCUCAGAAUCUCUUGUUCCUUGCUCCCAGAAUGUUUUUUUUUUGAGAGCCUUCAGCAGUGGUGGGGACGGGGAGAUUGUCUUAGGGACCCUUGGGGGAUUUUACCCCAGGGUGCAGGGGAGGAAACUGUGGCUUCGGGCAGUGUCUCUCUCUCUUCACUGAAAGAAUUCUCUCUAAUCUUAGGAUUUCAGUUUUGUGAAGGAGCUUCUUGAGGGUCAUUCCAAAAUUCUUGGGCUUGUGAUCUGUAUAGCACUUCCAAAAGGAGGAAGACUGAAUACAUAUUCAUGUUUAAGACCCAGGAGAAGAACAUGUUUGGGGCUAUACACAGCUUCCCCGGGAACAGACUUGUCCAGGAGACUGCUCAUUCAUUGUACCCUUUGUUUCUCCAGUCCAUCCUGGAAACCACUCAGGGGUUGGCUGAGAUUCGGCCGUCUAAGAAGUAACCAGGCAAGGUCACUACCACCGAGUCUACACUCCUGUGGAGAAGAAGGUGGCCCAAGGGGAGGAGUGACAGGCGAGGGGAUUAUACAUCAUGACAAGGGGCACCAUGAAGAUCAAACAGAUGAAAGUGAGAGAAAGAGAUGGCAGGGAGGCAGAGUGGCCAGGACAACCUCAAUCCUGGGAGUCUGCCCCUCUGUACAGGCAGGGAACUGCAGAGUUAGCAUAGGUCAUAAUUGUAAGAGAGCUUUGCUACAGGAGAGGGUGGGGCCAAAAUGUGUAAAGCCAACCAGCAUCUCCUAAGCCAUGUGACAAAUUUAACUUUGAUGAAUGUGAAAAUCUGUAGAAAUUUAGACGGAAAAGCGUGACCUGAAUUUUUUUUUCUUUUUUUUGUUUUGGCUAUUUGGGUUUUUUGUUUUUGUUUUUGCUUGUUUGUUUGUUUUUUUGGAGACAGGUCUUUCUGUGUAGCCCUGGCUGGCCUGGAACUCACUAUCUAGACCAGCCUGGUCUUGUACUCACAGAGAUCCCCCUGCCUCUGCUUCCCUAGUGCUGAGAUGACUUGCAGAGGAUAGACUGGAGAGGGUAAGGUGGGAAUCGAAGUGGCCCAUACAUUAACUGAACUGAGGUAUGUAGGAGGGUGGGGCCACCUCUGAUAAAACCUUAGAAACUCGUAAGAGUGACAGGUGUGAGGCACAUGCACUGGCCACGCCCAGGUACACCUGGCUUUAACAAAAUGUGUAAAGCUCAAAACUUAGAGUCACUUUUCUCGUUUUCGAGUGAUUUGCCUUGAGUGUCUGUUCCACAAAUGGAAAAUAAUGUAUGAGCCUUUGACUAAGAAAUGCUAACGAGACACAGGAAACCUUAAUAGAAGGCUCAUAGCAUUAGAAGAGGUCAUUUUCUCCUAACUUCCACCC